UGUCUUCUUAACAAAAGCCGGAAAAGGACACUCUCUAAAUUUGGUUUAUCUUCCAUUACAAGCUUAUCUAAACGCCUGACUCAGAUUCCUAUUCACUAUAUAACUUCUGUGAUUUCUUACUUUCUUGAGAAUUACAAUAGUUUGGUUAUAGUUUCCGUUCCUAAAGGCUGGUUCGGGGAGGCUGAAUCAACAACUGGUAAAUAAAGGACUAUUUAUUAACUUAUAAUGUUCUUUUAAACUUCACUCAAAUACAACUGUGUAGUUUAUAGCUUCUGUGAUUUCUUACUUUCUUGAGAAUUACAAUAGUUUGGUUAUAGUUUCCGUUCCUAAAGGCUGGUUCGGGGAGGCUGAAUCAACAACUGCCUAGGAAUCAAUUUGUGGGAAACAUCGCUUAAUAAGAUGUCGCAAGUAAACACCUCAUAUCACCUGGAUGAAAAUUAGUCAGCAGUUUUAAAUAUUGUCAAUCAAUCGAAUCAGGUCAACUAACAUAAGAUGGAAGAUCAAUUAUUUGGAUUCAUGGAACAUGGCUGAAAAAAAAGAUCACAAUGAUGAUUACGAUGAUGAUGAUGAUGAUUACAAACAGAAGAAGAUGAUGAUGUUUACAGCAAUAAUUAUAUGCAAAAAUCAUUAAGUUAUAUAUUUAUAAGAAUAAUUUAUUGUUUUUAAUGAUUUCAUCUGUUAGUCAUGCAGAUCUAAAACAUUAAUUAGUUACUAAGAUUAACAAAUGUCUGUAAUUUCUUCUUUUGGAAUAUAUUUGGAUUCUGAUCAGC
rnacentral:lncRNA from 1 species